UACGUAGGGGGCGAGCGUUGUCCGGAUUUAUUGGGCGUAAAGAGCGUGUAGGCGGCUUGGCAAGUCCGCUGUGAAAACUCGAGGCUUAACCUCGAGACGUCGGUGGAAACUGCCUCGCUAGAGUCCGGAAGAGGAGAGUGGAAUUCCUGGUGUAGCGGUGAAAUGCGCAGAUAUCAGGAAGAACACCCGUGGCUAAGGCGGCUCUCUAGUACGGUACUGACGCUGAGACGCGAAAGCGUGGGGAGCGAACAGG
rnacentral:rRNA from 1 species